AUGUCGGCUCACCCCAUCCUGGGGCUGUAUCAGGUCCCAAGGGUCGGUCUGUUCGCCCGUUAAAGGGGUUCAUGAGCUGGGUUCAAACCGUCGUGAGACAGGUUGGUCCCUAUCUACCGUGGGCGUAGGAGGCUUGAGGGGGUCCGCUCUCAGUACGAGAGGACCGGAGCGGCUGGGCCGCUGGCGUACCAGUUGUCCUACCCAGGGCAUCGCUGGGUAACUAAGCCCAGACCGGAUAAGAGCUGAAGGCAUCUAAGCUCGAAGCUGACCCCAAGAUGAGGCCUCCCCAUGUAAGGGCCCUUCGAGACCAGGAGGUUGAUAGGCCGCAGGUGAAAGCCCGGUAACGGGUGGAGCCGAGCGGUACUAAUCGCCCGAUUGGCUUAU
rnacentral:rRNA from 1 species